ensembl:lncRNA
AUUUUUCUGUAUCAUCAUUGGUUGUUUCUGUGUAAUGCUAUGUGUGGCAUGGAGGUAUAAAAGUCCCUUAUCUAUAGUUCAGCUUCAACUUGAGGAGGAGGAACUGUUCAACUGAAAAGUUACCAACCUCCACGGCUGCAUUAGUUGUAUUUGUUGGAAGGAGUAGGUGAAGAAGGUGUGAAUUGUGUUACCCACCAGUCAGAAUGAAGAAGCCUGUUCUCCUCUCUGCAGCCGUGCUGCUGCUGGUUUUUGUUUGGCAGUCAGCUCAAACUUUGAAUACAAAGUAAAUGAUGACUAUGGACCAUUCCUCAUCAGUGUGAAUGGCUUGGCAGGAAAUUCAUCACACUACUGGCAACUGCUGAGUGGUACAACCCCACUUGAUGUUGGUAUGGGAUGUUACAUUCCAACAGCAAAUGAAGUCAUCACCCUUAAAUACACCUCAACACAACAGGAUCAUCUGAAGUUUCAUUCUGACUUAUAGUCAACCAACAUGGUUUGGUUUUUGGCAGGUUUAAGUUAAUACUUAGUUUUUGGGUAAUUUUUCUGUUUGGAAGCGUUUUUAAUGACAAAAUGUUUUGAAAAUCUUCUAAUCAUAAAUUGGUAGCCUAUCACUGUCUUAGUUUCUUUGACUGGGUUUGUGUUAGACUUAAUGAAUUAAGAUUACAGCUUUUAUCUACACGUCUGCCACAGUGUAGUAACCUGAAGUAACAGAAAACUCCAUUGGUUACAAGAGUAAUCAGUAAAACAUAUUAAAGUUUAAAGACAUGCAACACUUGCAUAUUAGUCAACUGAAGUUCUUGAACUGUUUUUUAAUUUACUGCCUUUAUGGCAACUUUUAUUGUGUUUGAGAGUAAUUAGUAGUUUCUCAACUUGCUCCUGAGUGUCAUAAUUUUACAUUCAAAUUCCAUUAUUUGAGAGGUACUUAUAUACUGACAAGGGAUAUCAGUUUCAGUGUAAAAAGAUGGUGUGGUUAUACAGUAGAGUGCUCAAAGUCUGCUGGCCAGGAAAAACAGCCAAUAAGGGCAGCUUAGCUUUAAAAUGGCUUCUGCAUCCUACGAAUCCAGUUAUCAACAGCUUGGGAGCCAGGAGGCUUCUGAGAUUGACUGGGAAGCUGACCUCCUCUUGGACACCAGCAAGUCUCUAAGAUCAGCUGUGAAAUUAAAACUAUUUUUGAGCUUUUGGGGGCUCCUAUGGGGUUGUGAGCAGAAUAAGAACAAAUUUAUUGCUUAAUAAUUUUUGUAUUAGUGCAUUACUGUUGAAUAACUGUUGAAUAAAAGCCUCCACUAACCACUCUGGUUUGGUGAGGAAAGAAAAAAAAUCAGCAAAGAGGGGAAAAAAAAAAUAAAAAAAUUAAGAGCUCUGAGAAAAAAACUGUUGUCAAUCUAUCCGGGUAGUGUGUGUAUGUGUGUGGAUAAGCCCAGUGCUUAUCUGUAAAGUUUAGUAGAAUCUUUGUUCGCCAUCCUCCUGGGUGGAGGGAUAUGUCUCUGGAGAAGAACUUCAGUGGAUUCACAUUCAGUCUCUCGCAUUAUGUCACAACAUAGUAAAAAAACAACUGGAAAAUGGGAUGUAUGGUGAGCAAAUCGCCAUAAGUCUUUAUCUGUAAAAACCUUAACACUUAUUAUUUUAAGGUUCCUAUUCACUCCAGUACUCCAUGCUCUCUGUUCUUUUUUUCCUGGCUUGCUGUCUAUCUGCUUGCACUGCAAUUAUUCUUAUUGCCUCAUAAGGCUUUGCAGAACAACUAUAGUGCCAUCUGCUGGAUAACAUUGGUACUGCAUAUAUUAAACAUUAAAACUGGCUUGAAUACCAGUGGAUAACUUUGAGAGGGUUACAUUCUCUUCCUCUUAAGCCGCAUGCAUGUGGAACUUUACACUGUUUCAGUGUCCUGGGCAUAAGUUGAUCUGCGCUAGGUACACUGUCAAGGGUGAAGGCUUGGGUGAAAGCUUGGUCUAACCCAGAUACAAUGGAGUGCUUGACUCUCACUAAAGGAUUUCCUAACAUUGGAUAAGUUAGCUUCUUUGGAGCUGUCCUCUCCCUUGAUGACCUCCUUACCCCACAUGCUCUUCAUGAUUAGGGGCAUCUUUAGAGAGAUUUGGUUCUCCUCUUCUUUCUUCCUCCAUAACAUUGAUUUUUUGUUGCUUACUUCCAGAGAUGGGCAGUAACGCGUUACUUGUAACGCGUUACUGUAAUCUGAUUACUUUUUUCAAGUAACGAGUAAUGUAAGGGAUUACUAUUGCAAAA